CUCUGCCUGUAAGAUGUAAAAGAUCCAGCAUCCUUUUAAUCUAAUUUGAGAAAUCAGAGUGGAAUGCCUUUAUAAGAUUCUCAAUUAUCUUCCCUAUGAUAAUGAUUCACAUCUAUUUUCCUAGUUCAAGUCUCUCUUCAAGAUCAAAAGCCGUAUUACUGUCUACUGCCCAUUUUAUUUUGAACUGGAUAUCGCAUAGGCAUCGCAAACAACCUACCCAAAGCAUAACUCAUUGUCUCUCCACUCCGACUCUGGUAAACUUGCCAAUGACUAGCAUGGGAAAACCACCAUUUUUACAGUUAUCUCUUGUGUGCGCUGCCUUAUCCCACUCACACCACCCAGGUGACGGGUGUUAGGACUCUGGCCAAAGCCGCCUCGCUGGUCUCCGGGCUGCAUCUCACGUGACUCCAUUCUUCCGCCGCCACCAACGUGAUUUUCCUAAAGCACUGACUCCCCGUGGCACUUCCCUACCCAGCAAACACCGGCGGCUCCUCGUCACUUAAACAACCGAGGUUGCUGGCAGCAACCCAGAGUGCGCGGAACCAGAUUUAAAGCAAAUCAAACGACAGAACCCAGACCGGUUAAUGGAUGGUUCUAAGUCAAAAUGUGGCCUGCAAGAAUCCUUUGGGAUGACAUGAGAGACUUUGUCAAAUGUUUUGCUGAAAGAAAAUAGGAAGACUUCAAGACAUUUGGGGAAGAAGGCUUAUCAUAGUAAGAAAUUCUUCACCUGACAUGGUCCUGAAAAAUCAGUAUGGAUUCUUGAUCAAGGCUUUUUGGUUACUAUCUAUGAGAGAAUUUUGCCAAGAGUCCAAGAGAAGCUCAUCAGUAUAUAGCUGGAAUAUUCUGACCUUCUCCCUCUGAAAAUCAAGACAUCACAAUCUUCAGUCUAAUAGGACCCCUUGCAUAUACGAUGGUUUUUCAAAAGGCAAAGCCAGUUCAGCAGUCAUAGUCUACAAAUUAUUUCUAUCACUUAUAAUAAAGCCUUUCAGGACCUACUGAUUUCCAUUUA